AGUGAGAGUUCCCCUCAUGUCUUCUACCCAAGUUGAAGUCCAGCAAAAUUGCGACUGUCUUCUUUACAACUUUCAAGACCACGCUGCUUCUGCAUUUGCCUGUUACCUCCUUUUCUUUGUCAUGCAUGCAUAUUAAUUGAGUAUGGAGAAUAUCUAUGCUUGUUCAGGCUAGCCAACGUAGGACAGUUUAUUUCAAGAGAGGAGUCAUGGGUUGAAUGCUGGUAUGGUUUAACUCUGCAGCACAAACAGUUGCAACAAGUGUGGUGAACUAAUCACCAAACAGCCCUUUGCUGCCUUAUUUGUCUUUGUGCCUUAUGUGUACCUUGCAGGAUUUGAUUAUGCCUAUGUUUUGUGGUGAUAAUACUUUCAAGUAUUCCUAAAAUAUUGCUUCAGUCUUAUCUGUUUGGGGCCAACUGCUGAGGAUUUCAUACAAAUUAAUGAAUUUUGUGCAUCUAAAGUUCUACAAAAGGGGGAAAUAUUUGCAAGUCAUUUAUAUCUUGUAAGAGACUAAAAUGUAGAACAUAUUUUAAACCUCCCAAAAAUCUAAAACAACAAACUAAAUAAAAAUCAGAGGACUCUUUAAAAAUGGGCAAAAGACUUGAACAUAUAGU
rnacentral:lncRNA from 1 species